rnacentral:rRNA from 1 species
AGCGAACGCUGGCGGCAGGCCUAACACAUGCAAGUCGAACGAACCUUUCGGGGUUAGUGGCGGACGGGUGAGUAACACGUGGGAACGUGCCUUUAGGUUCGGAAUAACUCAGGGAAACUUGUGCUAAUACCGAAUGUGCCCUUCGGGGGAAAGAUUUAUCGCCUUUAGAGCGGCCCGCGUCUGAUUAGCUAGUUGGUUGAGGUAAUGGCUCACCAAGGCGACGAUCAGUAGCUGGUCUGAGAGGAUGAUCAGCCACAUUGGGACUGAGACACGGCCCAAACUCCUACGGGAGGGAGCAGUGGGGAAUCUUGCGCAAUGGACGAAAGCCUGACGCAGCCAUGACGGGGGAAUGAUGAAGGUCUUAGGAUUGUAAAAUUCUUUCACCGGGGACGAUAAUGACGGUACCCGGAGAAGAAGCCCCGGCUAACUUCGUG